rnacentral:lncRNA from 1 species
UUGGUAGGUUUGCAGCAGUUUUAUUAAUUAUUAGCAGUAACUGUCCGUCCCUAGAGCAAGUGGCAAAGUGCUUGGUGGUUGGUACCCGAGACCCAAGUUCGAAUCCUAAUUGAUUCACAUUUCCAGCUAAGUUUAUUUCUAAAUAAAAUAAACAAAGCGGGUAGCGUGCUAUCUAUCUCUAGAAGCAAAAAAAAAUUUAAUUAGUAGCAGUACCUUCGGUAGUCUCCCAUUAAGGA